rnacentral:rRNA from 1 species
UACGUAGGGGGCGAGCGUUGUCCGGAUUUAUUGGGCGUAAAGAGCGUGUAGGCGGUUCGGUAAGUCUGUCGUGAAAUCCUGAGGCUCAACCUCGGGCGUGCGAUGGAUACUGCCGGGCUAGAGGGUGGUAGAGGCGAGUGGAAUUCCCGGUGUAGCGGUGAAAUGCGCAGAUAUCGGGAGGAACACCUAUGGCGAAGGCAGCUCGCUGGGACGUUACUGACGCUGAGACGCGAAAGCGUGGGGAGCGAACAGG